UUCGCUAGCUUUUAAAGAGAGUCCGGGUGGUAAACUAUUCAAAACUCUCUUGUUGAUCGGGAUCUGGAUCUUGGUCCUCUUGAUCUGAAAUAGUUAAUGAAAUGGUGAGUUACACUAGCAUAGUAAUAAUAUCACACUACUCACCGAUACAAAAACUGAAGAUUGGUAAAAAUCAUAAAAAUAACUAAUGAAACUCUUGAAUUAAGUAAAUUCAUUUAUAAUAAGAAAAACUAUUUAUUACAUAUAUUUACCGUUACGAAAUUUUCAAAAUUGACCUAUAAAGACAAUAAUUCAAAUAACAUUAUAAUCUCAUAUUCAAGUGAGCAAGAACAACAACUUUCCUUUUUUAUUUGCCUACUAGUAUCCCUGGGGGUCAUAGGAAUGUCCCACUACGUGUGAACCAAUAUCCAACAUUGUUAACUAACUGCCCGUCUCCAUACCCCAUCUGGUAUGAGUGCCAAAAAUAUCAUCCCUAAAUACUAUGUCCGGUAUGAGGGUGAAUCGGAUCGUCCCCAUACCCCGUCUGGUAUUAGCACCAAAAAUACCAUUCUUCGAUACCCCGUCCGGUAUGAGGAAACGUUCAUGGUAGGGUUUCCUAUGUACCCAGUCCGUCCACCAUCUCCCAAGAUAUCCAGUAAGACAAUCAUUCAUUAAUUCACAUAACCAAACAAUUUUUCGUUUGCAUAUUAAUUUUUAAUUUCAUAAAUCAACCGUAAAUCAUGCAAGACAAGCAAUAAAUAUACAUCAAGGAAGCACAACUGAAUAAUUUAACCAUUUCAUAAUAUUAUCAUGUAUUUAAAACUGUAAACUCAACAAUCAGGUAAAAAGGAUAAAUAAAUGACUAACCGGUUCUAGCUCCAUUAGUAACAUGUAAUUAUUCUUAGAGUUUUUUAAAUUGUACAAAAUAUCACAUUAUUGAUUAUUAAGUUUCAAUUCCAUAACAGAGAAUAAGGUGAGGGAUUCUUACCCGAAUCGGUGUCUAAAAUACUGAACUUUCUACUACGUCUACUAGCGGUCCUCAGAUUUUUUGAAUUUUUUGGUAAAAAUUAAAACACGAUUCACGUACCUAAAAAUACCCCCAAAACAUAAAAUCAAUGUUAAAAAUCAUUUUCCAGCCAAUUUUAGGGUUUUGGCACAGUGGCAUCAUCGUACUUCGACGACGGCACCGUCGCCAGCGGCGGCAGUUUACCUUGGCCUAGUCGUUUUUGGCCAGGUUUGGUCGGUUCAGAUGGUUUUAUACUCAUCCCUGCGAGAAAACACAUCAGGGGGCCUCGGUUGGCUAAAAAAAUAAAAAAAAAAUCAAAACUUACAGGUGGUGGAAUUUUUCGGUGCGACAGCUCCGCUGGCUCACAUUCGCGGCUGGGAGUUUUUCUUCAGUCAACCUGUAAAAAAUAAAACGGUGAAAAAAUUGGACGUAACGGGAAACAAGAAGGGGCUCAUUGGAGGCGAUUGUGGGUUUUGCCUGUGGCGGCUCUAUCGGGCUUUGCCCACAUUUUCUGGCUCACCCACCAUUUGUUUUGCUCUAAUAUGGCCACAAGGGUGCUCAAAAUCGAAUUUCGAGAGGGUAGGAGAAUUUUUAUUUUUUUGGUGAUCAAAGGUAACCUCGGUGCGGCGGCGGGAAAUAGUCAGCUCCCUUCUUUGGCGACUGGUUCUUCUUCUCCGACGGGAGGCUGGCGGUUAGAGUUCGAGAUAAGUGUGAUGCAAAAUAUUUAUACUCAUCUCGCGUUAAUCUAAACCAUUCAUCGCGUUUAAUCUCAACCAUUCGAUCGUGCCUAAGGAAAAAAUAAAUAUGGACCAUUCAUUGUGUUUCAUCUCGACCGUCCGAUCGCGCCUAAGGAGGGAACAGAUUCAGACCGUCCACGCGCGUAGGAAGGCUUUUGGGUCGUCUUAUCGCGGGGCACGCGGAUCAUCAGCGUGCCUUGCCACUCGGUGUGCUCCUGUUCAUUGAGGCUGCUGAUUGGACGGUCCUACGUGGCAAAAUUUUUCUUAAUUGCAUUCUGACCCUCAAUUUUUGAUUUUUCUUUCAAAAAUACACCUAGAACCCAAUUGUUCACCUGUUUUUACCAAAAUUCUUUUCAAUUUCAUCCCUAAUUUAUUUUUUCCCAAAUAAAACAAAACUUUCAUUAAAUUAAUUUAUAAAAUGUAUUUUAUUUUACUUUUUAUAACAUCUCUAAAUUAACAAAAUUUAUCCUGGGUCAAUUUUUAGAGCCCGGGUAUUACAACUCUCCCCCCUUUAAAAGAAAUUUGAUCCCUCAAAUUUGUCACUCUCACUUAAUCAAAUAGUUGGGGAUACUGGUCUCUAAAGUCUUAUUCUAGCUCCCAUUUGGCCUCACUUUAUGUGUGAUUCUGCCAUAAGACCUUGACAAAGGGAAUUUUCUGGUUGCAGAGUACUCUACUCAUUCGGUCUACAAUGUCCACUAAUACCCCCUCAUAGGACAGAUCCUCCUGGAGUGAAAGGGGCUCGUGGGCCAAGAUGUAAGAGGUGUGCGAGUUGUACUUACAUAGCAUGGACACAUAGAACACAUUAUGGACACUGGAUAGUUCUGGAGGUAGUGUCAGUCUGUAGGCGACAGUACAAAUUCUACCUAAGAUCUCAAAUGCCCAAAUAAAUUGGGGAUUUAGUUUCUCCCUCUUGCCAAACCUACUGAUUCUCUUGAAAUGGGUGACCUUGAGAAACACUCGAUCAUCUUUCUCAAAUUCCAAAUCCCUCAUCUGGGUGUCCGCAUAACUCUUUUGCCUGCUCUGAGCCGUUUGGAUAUUUUUCCUGAUCUUAAUAUUUUGGUUGUAAUCUCCUCCAUAAGAACUGGGCCGAACAAUUUCCUAUCACUUAGCUCUUCCCAACAGAUCGGCGAUUUGCAUGGAUGGCCAUAUAACGCCUCAUACGAAACCAUGUCAAUACUUGUUUGGUAACUGUUAUUGUAUGUGAACCCUAUUAAGAGUAAAUGAUCAUCUCAAUGGCCUCCCGAAGUCAAGAACACAAGCUCAGAGCAUAUCCUCUAGUGUGCAUAUCGUCUUUUCUGAUUGUCCAUCGGUCUAAGAGUAGAAUGCAGUACUAAGAGACAAUUUCAUUUACAUGGCUUGCUGAAAACUAGACAAGAGCCGAGAAGUGAACCUAGGGUCCCUGUCGGAUACUAUUAUUACCAGCACUCCAUAUAACAUGACUAUCUCCCGAAUAUACAUUCUUACCAACUUGUCCAAAGGUUGGUCAUCUUGAUAGACAAGAAGUGAGAAGACUUGGUGAGUCGGUUAAUAAUUACCCAAAUGGCAUCAUAUCCGAACAUGCCUUAGGUAAUUCUGUCAUGAAAUCCAUUGUGAUGUGUUCCCACUUUCACUUCAGAAUCAGUAAUGGCUGAAGUAGGCCGUCUGAGCAUUGAUGCUCUGUCUUGACCUGCUAACACACUAGGCACUUGGAAACAAAGUCAGCUACCUCUCUUUUCAUCCCGUUCCACCAAAAUUAGAGUUGCAUACUUUGAUACAUUUUAGUGCUUCCAGGAUGCAUGAUAAACUUUGAGCUAUGAAUCUCUGUCAUGAUGUCUUUUUUCACCUCACUGUCACAUGGGACACACAUCCUGUCCUGAAAUCUGUGCAACGCAUCGGUAGAGACUCAAAAUUCAAAAUGUACUCCCUGUUUUGCAUCUUUCCUGAGAGCUGCUAUGGUAGAAUCGGCUAAUUAGGCUUCUUUUAUUCUCUCAAUUAACUCAGGUUGAAUAGUCAGGUGAGCAAAGUAUGUAACUCUCUUCAGGUCCUGAAGUCGUAUCUGUUGUGCAGCCCCUAUUAUUCUGCAUUCUGAAACUAUUAGGUAAGCUAACAUACUUGCACUUUUUAUGCUAAGUGCGUCGGCUAUCACAUUCUCCUUGUCUUAGUGAUAUAAAAUAUUGCAAUCAUAGUUCUUGAGGAGUUUUAUCCAUCGUCUCUGAUGCAUAUUGAGAUCCUCUUGAGUGAAUAUAUGUUUCAAGCUCUUAUAGUCGGUCUAGAUAUGAAAAGUCUCCUCAUACAAGUAAUGUCACCAAGUUUUCAAUGCAUCGAUAAUUGCGAUAAGUUCUAAGUCGUGGGUGGGGUAGUUUUUCUCAUGAAUCUUCAACUACUUGAACAUAUAGACUAUGACCUUCCCAUGUUGCAUCAAAAUACAACCCAACCCUAGAUAAGAGGCAUCACAGUAAACUGUGUAUCCACCUACCCUACUCGACAAGGCCAACAUAAGUGCAGUAGUCAACCGUUUCUUUAGUUCUGAAAAACUCCUUUCAUAGUCCUCGUUCCACUCAAACUUGAUGUUCUUCUUUGUGAGAUAAGUUAAAGGAGCAACUAGUCUAGAAAAUCUUUUUACAAACCUGCGGUAAUAACCUGAUAUUUCCAGAAAGUUACGAAUCUUCUUAACCGAUGUCAAUUUCUCCCAACCAAGCACUGCCUCAACUCUUUUGAGCUUCACUGAUACUUCAUCCCUUGAUAUGAUGUGCCCUAAGAAGGUAGUCUGCUCGAGUCAGAACCCACACUUAUUCAACUUUGCAUACAACUUUUUUUCUAUGAGGACCUGCAAAACCUGAGUUAGAUGGUGAGCGUGUUUCUCUUUACUUUUUUAAUAGAUUAGGAUAUCAUCGAUAAAUACAAUGACAAACUGAUCCAUGAAUUAUCUGAAAACCCUGUUCAUCAAAUCCAUAAAGAUGGUUGGUGCGUUGGUUCGUCCAAAUGGCAUGACCAAAAACUCAUAGUGUCCAUACCUGACUUAGAAAGCUGCAAUCGGAUAUCCUGGAUAAACAGUUUAUUUUGUAACCAGAUAAACAUUUUUGGGAAUGUCAUUGGCCUUAAUCUUUACCUGAUGUAACUUGAACUCAUGUCUAUUUUGGAGAAAACUUGGGCACCCUGUAACUGAUCAAAAAUGUCAUCGAUCCUGAGGAUGGGGUACUUGUUCUUGAUCGUAACCCUAUUCAGUCCCCUGUAGUCAAUACAUAACCUUAACAUCCCAUCUCCCUUCCUUGCAAAUAUGACUCCAGCACUCCAAGGGGACACACUAUGUCAGAUGAACCCACUAUCCUUCAAUUCAUUUAUCUAUUUCCACAAUUCUUCCAUCUCAACACGGCUCAUGCGGUAAGGAAAAACUGAGAUAGGUUGGGUGCCUGACUAAAGAUCUAUAGUGAAUUCAACUUCUCUGUCCACUAGUAGUCCGAGUAGUUCAUUAAGAAAUACAUUCGGGAAGUUUCGGAUUACUUGAAUCUCUCGGAUGCAAAUUUCUUUCUUAGGUUUAGUAUGGGUCUUCCUCUCCUCAUCUAUCUGUACCUGUAUUUCACAAGAAAUGGUUGAACGAUAAUUCAUUUUUUGGUGUUUCCUUAAGUUUUUGUGUAAGGAAUUGUUCUAAAGAACGUGGCUCUGAUACCAACUGUAAAGAUCCGACACUAAAAAAGAAAUAAAGUCGUAAAUUAAAUGCAGAAGUCAAAUAAUAGAGUUUAGAGUUUACAUUCCUUACACAAUAAUUUAAAAUUUUCAAUAGGGUUACGGGAAUGUCCAUUCUAAAAGAACAAAUAAAAAUCAAAGAAAUAAAUUAAAGGUAAAUAACUGAGCAUUCUAGGACGACUUCACUAGUUUUUGAAUGGAGUUCGAGUGGUAAAUUAUUUACAAUCCUCUUAUUGAUCGGGAUCUGGAUCUUGGUCCUCUUGAUCUGAAAUAGUUAAUGAAAUAGUGAGCUACACUACCCCAGUAAAAAUAUCACACUACUCACUGAUACAAAAACUGAAAGUUGGAAAAAAUCAUAAAAACAACUAAUAGAGCUCUUGAUUUAAGUAAAUUCAUUUAUCAUAAGGAAAACCAUUUAUUGCAUAUAUUUACCAUUAUGAUAUUUUCAAAAUCGACCUAUAGAGACAAUAAUUCAAAUAACAUUAUAAUCUCAUAUUCAAGUGAGUAAGAACAACAUUUUUCCCUUUUUAUUUACCUACUGGUAUCCUUAGGAGUCUAUAGAGAUGUCCCACUAUGCAUGAACCAAUAUCCAACUUUCUCAACUAACCGGCCAUCCUCAUACCUCGUCUGGUAUGAGCGCCAAAAAUAUCAUCCCUCAAUACCCCGUCCGGUAUGAGGGUUAAUCGGGCCGUUCUUAUACCCCAUCCGGUAUGAGCACAAAAAAUACCAUUCAUUGAUACCCUGUCCAGUAUGAAGCAACAUUCACGAUAGGAUUCCCUAUGUGCCCAGUCCGUCCACCAUCUUCCAAGAUAUCCAGUAAGACAACAAUCCAUUAAUUCACAUAAUUAAGCAAUUUUUCGUUUGCAUAUUAAUUUUCAAUUUCAUAAAUCAACCGUAAAUCACGUAAGAAAAGUAAUAAACAUACAUAAAAGAAGCACAACUGAAUCUUUUAACCAUUUGAGCAUAUUAUCAUGUAUUUAAAAGUGUAAACUCAACAAUUAACUAAACAGGACAAAUAAAUGACUAACUGGUUCCGGCUCUAUUAGUAACCUGUAAUUAUUCUCAAAGUUUUCUAAAUUGUACAAAGUACCACAUUAUUGAUUAUUAAGCUUCAAUUCCAUAACAGAGAAUAAGGAAAGGGAUUCUUACCCGAAUUGGUGUCCGAAAUACUAAACUUUUUAUUGCGGCUACUGGCGGUCUCCAGGUUUCCUAAAUUUUUUAUGGAGAUUAAAACACGCUUCAAGCACCUAAAAAUACCCUAAAAAUCAAAAAUCGGUGUUAAAAAUCCUUUUUCGGCCAAUUUCGGGGUUCCGACACGGCGACACUGUCGUGCUCCGGCAACGAUACCGCCGCCCAUGACAGUGGUUUACCUCGGCCUGGCUACUUUUGACCGAUUUUGAUCAGUUCAGCCAGUUUUAUACCUAUCCAUAUGAGAAAACACGUUAUGGGGCCAGGCCUCGGUUGGUCAAAAAAAUAAAAAAAAAUAAAAAUGGAAAUCUAUCGGUGGUGGAAUUUUUCAGUGCAACGGCUUCACUGGCUCACCUUUGCAGCUGAGAGUUUUUCUUUGGUCAACCUUAAAAAACAUAACGAUGAACACAACGGUUGAAAAAUCGCAUGGAAUAAAAAAUAAGAAGGGGCUCAUCGGAGGCAGUUGCAGAUAUUGCCUGUGGUUUUCGGGUCAUCCAUCGUUUGUUUUGCUCCGAUAUGGCAACAGAGGUGCUCAGAAUUGAAUUCCGAAUGGGCAGGAGAAUUUUUACCUUUUUUGGCUUUGGUGGUCGAAGGUGGCUCCGAUACGACGGCGAGCGGCGGUCGGCGGUCGGCUCCCUUCUUUGGCAAUUGUUCUUCUUCUCCGACAGGGGACUGGCGGUUAGAGUUCAGGUUUAGUGUGAUGCAAAAUAUUUAUACUCAUCUUGCGUUAAUGUGGCUAUUCAUCGCGUUUGAUCUUAACUGUUCGAUCACACCUAAAGAGAAAACGAAUUUGGACCGUUCAUCGCAUUUGAUCUCGAUUGUUUGAUCGUGCAUAAGGAGGGAACAACUUUGGGCCGUUCAUUGCAUUUGAUCGCACCUAAGGAGGGAACAGAUCCGGACCAUCCACGCGUGCGAGAAGGCUUCUAGGUCGUUCGAUCGUGGGGCACGCGGAUCGUUAGUGCGGCCUCCCGCGUGACACCGAGUCAGUGUGCCUUGCCACGCGGCGUGCUCAGGUUCAUCGAGACUAUUGACUGGGCGAUCCUACAUGGUAAAAUUUUCUUUAAUUGUGUUCUAACCUCCAGUUUUUUAUUUUUCUUUCAAAAACACCCCCCCGAACCCAAUUUUUCACCCAUUUUUACUAAAAUUGUCUUCAAUCUCAUCCCUAAUUCAUUUUUUUCCAAAUAAAACAAAAUUUUUAUUAAAUUAAUUUAUAAAAUUUAUUUUAUUUUAUUUUUUAUACAUCUCUAAAUUAACAGAAUUUAUUCCGAGCUAAUUUUCUGAGCCCGGGUAUUACAAAAAAAAUGUAUUGUACUAUUAGAAAUACCUAUAUUGUUGUCCAAAUAAAAUACUCAAUAAGAGAAACAUUCAUGUUAUUAACUAAUGUCCCUGCAUUUUAUUUUCUCUCACCCCACCAGAGCAUUCAACCACCAGGGAACGCCAAGAGAUGGAAUCAGAAAAACAACCACAGUAAUUCAUUAUUCCACCUUUUCACUUUCCUUUUUUUUUUUUUUAUUUCGCCUAUCUGGGAAACCAAAGUACCCAGAUCUUUUAUUGCUAGCGACCACAGCCACCACCAAUGCAUAACUUGUCCAAAGGCAAGUAGGAGGAAGUGUUUUACACCCUAAACGCGCCACUUAGACAUAGGUGCGUGACUACAUGCGCCGCCAUUUGGGUGUUGGGAAGGUAGCCCUUUUUGAUGUCAUCAUAUAGAUCGACUCGCGAAAAUGUGCUCAAGAGGAAAAUUGAAGCUCACGUGCAACCAUGAAGGCCCUGUGUAUCAUCAUGUGUCACUUCGUUUAGGCGGACUUAGUCUACCGAGGUAUUUGAAGUUUUUGGGCUUCACUAAUUUGACCAAUUUAACAUUCCACAUGUAACGGCCCCAGAAAUUUAAGUGAAGAUGUAUGUAUUAAAAAUCUUAAAUGUGGAAGCGUAAUAAAAAUUCUGAUUAAUAUCCCUUACACAAUAACCAUAAACAUAUUCAACGUAUGAAAGAAGAAGCUAAUUAAAAGAAAUACUCGAAAUAAAAACUAUAAAUAGAACUAUAAAAUCUUUAGGCGUCUAACUCGCCGUCUUCCUGCGGAACGGGCUCGGGAACUACGUCUUCCUAAUAUGAAAUAGUUAAGUAAUGAAUGAGCUACACUAGCCCAGUAAAGACAUCACACUAUCUCACUGCCACAGAAGUAAAGGUUGGUAGAAAACAAAAACGACCAAUAGAGCAUAAUUUAUAACAAACUCAUUUAUUAAUAAUAAAAACUUUUACUGCCCACUUACCUCGGUGAGAUUUGUGAAAAUAACAUAUGAAAACAAUAGCAUUAUAACCAUCAUAAAAUCAUAUACACUUUGUAACAUAACUCAUGUCAUACUUUUGCAUUUUAAUAAUCAGACAACAAAUUUUCUCUUUUACCAGCCUACUAGUAUCCAUGGAGAUCUAUAGGGGGUCCCCACUACACGUGAACCAUUAACAUUAAUAAUCUGAUUCCAGGGUCGUCCCCAUACCCCGUCCGGUAUGGGCGCCAAAACCAUGAACCUCAAUACCCCAUCCGGUAUGAGGGUAAAACGGGCCGUCCUCAUACCCCGUUCGGUAUGAGGGUGAAACGGGCCGUCCCCAUACCCUGUUCGGUAUGGGUGCCAAAACACAUAAGGUCUCCAUACCCCGUCUGAUAUGAGAGACCACGUUUCCGGUAGGGUUCCCUACGGACCCAAUCCAUCCACCAUCUCCCAGGAUAUCUAGUCAGGCUGUCCACAUUAUCCAUUUAUUAAUUCACAUAACCUUUUUCCAUUUUCCUUGGUCUCAAUUAUCGAAUCAAAUAUAAACAUGUAAACCAGUAAUGGACACCAAACAAACAACACAACAUCGGGUUCACUAUAAUUCAAACCAUAAUAAAAGAAAUCAUGAUUCAUGCAUAUGAAACCAUAAAAUAAAUACAUCAAAUACCAUGCUGCAUUUAAAACUGUAAAAUAACUAAAACAGCAACCGACCGAAAAUAUAUCAAACUCGGGCUCCAUUAGCAACCUUAAUUAAUUAUACAUAUCUAUUAAUUCACGAAAUGUCAUUUUAUUAUUUACUGAGCUUUAAUACCGUGAUAGGAAAUAGGGUGAGAAAUCCUUACUUGUUUCGGGGUCUGAAAUCGGCUCUACAAUGCGCCUAUGGGUUGUCCCUAAAUUCUCUAAAUUUUCUUCGAGAAACUGAAACGCACUACCGGUACCUACACGUGUCCCAAAAAAUUUCAAAUCAGACCCAGGGCCCCUUUUCGGUCAAUAUCAGAAUUUCACCAUGGCGGCUCCGCCGUGCUUCGGCGACGGCACCGCCGUCCGUGGUAGCAAUCUGCCUCGGGUUGGCCCUUUUUGGCCGAAUUUGGCCAAACCUGCAUUGAUUCCUGCGAUAAAACAACCCUAGGGCCCUCGGUGGACCAAAACAUCAUGAAAAACUGAGACUUACCGACGGCGAAGCUCUCGGGUGCAGCGGCUUCUCCGGCACGAGUCGCAGUUUGAUGUUUUGCUCCAAUCAACCUGUAGAGAAAAGGACAAUGAUCACAGUGGUGUAAAAAUUGCAUCGAACGGGAACCGAAAAGGGCCUCAUCAGAGGCAAAAAUCGAGAGAAGUUGCGGCAGUGCCGCUGGACUUCGGCGGUGUUUUUCGGCCGAUUGGCCGGUGGUUUGGCUCUGAUUUGGCCAUAGAUAGAUUCAACAUUGAAAAACAAGCCAAGGGGAGAAAAUUUACCUCGUUUGGCAGUCGAAAAACCCUCUGGUGCGGUGGUGGGUGGCGGCGGCCGGCUCCUCCGGCGACUGGUUCUUCCUCUCCGAUGAGGGUACUGGCGGCUAGGGUUUGGGGUCGGGUGUGGGUGAGGUUAUUUAUAACCUUCCCCUUUUAAUCUCAGCCGUCCAUCACGAUUUAAUCUGGACAGUCCGAUCGCGAUUAAAAUGAGAAUAAAUCUGGGUCGUCCGUGUAUGAUUCAAUCUGGGCCGUCCGUACAUGAUUCAAUCUGGGCCGUCCGCACGCGUGAGAUCUGAGCCGUCCGUGCUCGUGAGAUAUGGGCUGUUCGAUCUAGUGCGCGUGGAUCGCUCACGUGGCUCUGUCCCGCGUAAGCUUCCUUGCCACGCGGCGUGUUCUGGUUAGUGGGGCUGCUGACAUGGCUGCUGACGUGGCACAACUUUCCUAAAUUGCGUUUUAAACUUCGGUUUCUAAUUUUCUUUUCAAAAACACCCCCAGAAUCCAAAUUUUCACCCCUUUUUCCCAAAAUCAAUUACAAUUAAAUCCCAAAAAUAAUUUUACCCUAUUUUGUCAUUAUUUUUAUUUUUAUUUUUAUUAAAUUAAAUUAAUUUAAUUUAAACGCAUAAUUAUUACAAAAUAAAUUAACCAUUAAAAUAAAAUAAAAUCCAAAAAAAAGAUUCCAACACCCAAAAAUAAAAAAUUUAUUUUUUUGGGUGUUACACCACACAUAAGAAAAAAAUGGGAGUUAUUGGUUCUAGAUGAUAAAAAAAAAUAAUGUUCAUGUAUUCUAUCUCACAAUAGCAUAGAGAUGAAAUGAAAUCACUUAAAUUUACAUGUAAUUUAUAGAACGUUGUGCACAUUUAAAUAUACAUGAGUCAAAAACAACAUAUUUUAUGGAUUCAUCAUCAUUAAGUUAACAUGCAAAAAAAAUCAACAAGCUUAAUCCAGAUUGGAGCAUGAUUAUUACAAAGUCACAAGCAAACAAUUAGGCUCUGAUAUCACUAGAGGUAAUUAGGACUGACCGUAGUGCGGAAGCAAUAGGACCAGAUGCUCGCUUACUACUCGUAGAGAAUGAUUUUGCCUCGUUGAAACUCUUGAUUGAUUCUGUCUUCUCUUGGAUGCUAGUAGAGUACCGAGUAAUAUUUACGCCUUAAAACCUAAGUUUAUUGAUCGCCUGACUUAACGUGAAAGAUGAAAGGAUAAUAUUUUUUUUACUUUGGUGCAACUUUUGAGUUGAUAAACAGAAGCAAUUUCCCCUCUUAUAGGCUCACAAAGAGUCGUUAUUUUACUGAUGCACAUUAUUGAAAAAUAGGGAGUUAAGUAAUAAGUAGAACUGCCCAUAACCUCCUUUGUGGUUAUUGUGGGCGUUCCUAAUAUUAUGCAAUAGUGUGUUUAACUUAACUCAUUCAUUUUAAUUCUGUUAACUAAACUUAUUUUCCACCAUCUUACUAAUUAGUCAAUUCAGCCUAUCACCUAAACUCUUUAUAUUAAUUAAUUGUUUAAGGAUAUUUAAAAUUUUGUUUAAUUAUCAUAUUUAAAAUUUGUUUAUUUGGUUUUUAGUUGUGUAGGUUUUAAAAUUUUGAUUAUUUAAUAUGUUUUUUUUUAUCUCCUAAUUUUCCACUAAUUCUUUUCGUGCAAUGUUCCAAUCAAUUAAUGUCUAAACUAUUUAAACCAUAAUUCAAUCAUCAUCUGUAACACCCACAAUUUUUUUUUAAUUAUACAAAGGAUAAAUAUAAUUUUUAUUAUUUUAUUUUAUUUUAUUGUAUUUUAUUUUAUUUUGUUUGGGAUAAAAAUAAAAUAAAAUUAAUGGAGGAUUAAAUUGAAAAUAAAUUUGGGAAAAUUUGGAGAAAAUUUGGGUUAUGGGAGUAUUUUUGAAAGAAAAAUCGAAAAACAAGAGUCGAAACGCAAUUUUGGGAAGUUUCGUCACAUCAGACGCCCGGUCAGCAGCCCUGACCAACCAGGACGCGUCAAGUGGCAGAGACGCUCAUGCGGGAGGCCACACGGGAGGCCAUGUGGGCAAUCCGCUUGCCCGUGAUCGAACGGCUGAGGUCCGUUCCCUCGCGCACGGACAGCCUGGAUGUGCUCCCUCCUAAACGCGAUCGAAUGGCCAGAUUCAAACGCGAUCGGACGGUCCAGAGUGAAUCGUGAUGGACGAUCCAGAGUGAAUCUGUAUGGACGAUCCAGAGUGAAUCACGAUGGACGGUCCAUAUCAAAAACGGAUGGAUAUAAAUAACCCUCAUCUGCACUAAACCCUAACCCUAGCCGCUAGAACCCCUCGCCGGAGAAGACGACCCAGCCGCCAGGGAGCCGACCGCCGCCAUAUCGGAACCCUUUCUGACAGCCAAAAAAGUUAAAAAAAAUUUUUUUGCACGAAAUUCAAUUUUAAGCACACUCAUGGUCAAAUCAGAGCAAAAAGACCAGUCAAUUGGCUGAAAAACACCAGCGGUGCCGCCGUGGAGAAUUUAACAAAAUGCCUCCGAUGAGGCCCUUCCCGAUUCUCGUUUUGCGUAAUUUUUCUACCAUUGUGAUCAUUAUUUUUUUCUCUACAGGUUGACCAAAGCAAAACACCCAAUUGCAACGUGAGCCGGAGAAGCCGCCGUACUGGAGAGCCCCCCCAUUAGUGAGUUUCAGUUUUUCGUAUUUUUUGGGCCAACCGAGGCCCUUUAACACGUUUUUUCACAGGGAUCGAUGCAAAAUUGACAAAAAACCGCUGAUCUGAGGUAGAUCGCCACCGCAGGCGGAGGUGCCGUCGCUGGAGCACGGUGGAGCUAUCGUGUCGGAAUUUCAAAAUUUGCUGAGUAUGCCCUGGGAAUGAUUUUGGGUUUAUUUGGAAUAUUUGUAGGUACUAUUAGAGCGUUUCAGUUCCCAGAGAAAAUUUUCUGAAACCCAAGGACCGCCCAUAGGCGCAGUAAACAGUUUAGCUUUUCUGGCUUCAAAUCGAGUAAAGAUCCCUUACCAUAUUCUCUAUCAUAGAACUAAAGUUUAAANNNNNNNNNNNNNNNNNNNNNNNNNNNNNNNNNNNNNNNNNNNNNNNNNNNNNNNNNNNNNNNNNNNNNNNNNNNNNNNNNNNNNNNNNNNNNNNNNNNNNNNNNNNNNNNNNNNNNNNNNNNNNNNNNNNNNNNNNNNNNNNNNNNNNNNNNNNNNNNNNNNNNNNNNNNNNNNNNNNNNNNNNNNNNNNNNNNNNNNNNNNNNNNNNNNNNNNNNNNNNNNNNNNNNNNNNNNNNNNNNNNNNNNNNNNNNNNNNNNNNNNNNNNNNNNNNNNNNNNNNNNNNNNNNNNNNNNNNNNNNNNNNNNNNNNNNNNNNNNNNNNNNNNNNNNNNNNNNNNNNNNNNNNNNNNNNNNNNNNNNNNNNNNNNNNNNNNNNNNNNNNNNNNNNNNNNNNNNNNNNNNNNNNNNNNNNNNNNNNNNNNNNNNNNNNNNNNNNNNNNNNNNNNNNNNNNNNNNNNNNNNNNNNNNNNNNNNNNNNNNNNNNNNNNNNNNNNNNNNNNNNNNNNNNNNNNNNNNNNNNNNNNNNNNNNNUUAAAUUUUUUAUUUUAGAAAAUGUUUUUAUUUCGAAAACAUGCACAUGUGGUUUCGAGUUAACUACUAGAUAUAUUUACCAUCGUGAAUGUUUAAGGCUCAAUUUAAACUCUUCAAAUGUUUUCUCUAAAUCCAUUUUCAUCCUAAAUAAAACUACACGUUUAUUAGUAAAAAAAACUUAAAUUGAAAAUCUAAUCUAAGAAUACUAAGAGAUUUACCUAUCUUCAUAUUGGCGCUUUAUAUAUCCUAAAACAUGGAAUUACCUGAAAGAAAGGAAGAUCUUAUCUCGAUCAGUAAACAAUCGAGAUUUUAAAUCUUCAAACAUGCAUACAGAUCCAAUUUCUUCCUAAAAUACAAGUCCUAAUUAAUUCUAAAUCUAAAUUAUUCAAUUUACUUUAAAUAAUUUAAAUAUAAGUAAGUGAAUAUUAAAUAUGUGAAAUCCUAAAUUUUCAUAUUUAACUUGAACUGGGUUCGAAUUUCUCAAAGGAAACACUCUCGGUACACUGUAUGAGAGGGCUGGACUGGGCUUGAACCUGCAUGCACAAACAAGUCCGAUUAGAGACUGGUCAAGCUGAUGGAAACCAUAACAGAGAAUGAACUUACCUCAUGGUAUCAACGCAGGCCCCAAGUUAUGGCCUCCUUGUUCAUCAUGUAUGGUGGAUGAACCGGGUUUGAGACCUCGUGGCUAUAGAGGGAGGCUCAAGUUGCAGUAUGUAAUCUUCUCUAAUCUCAGUUAUCGUCCACUUGUUUCUCUCAUUCAUAAGUAAAAAUACAUAUGUUAUUAACAACGAAUAAUAAUCGAAAACGAUACAAAACGAAAGGGGACUGAUUUUACCACUGAACAUGCGGUCCCCAGUCACCAUGCACCACCACGUGCCACCAUUGGAAUAGCCAUGUGUUGUCGCACACGCCACCUGCGCACCACCACUAGACUUGUCACACGUCGCUGCACAUGGAGCUAAAUAUUCACAUAAAUCCAAUCGAAAAAACUCCAUAUAUCUAGCCCUUUUCCAUCGUGCAUAGAUCUAACCACCAUCACGCACAGUACCAACACUGUCGGAAUUUUCUCCCCACUGCCAUGUUACUGCAUACACGAAAUGGGCCUGUCUUCCUGUUGUAACAUCGCAUCUUCUUUCCCUAAUAAAUUGAUGUCCCUCGAUUUCUUUUCUGUUGGCAUCACACGCCAUAUAGCUCUCAUCUGGUCAUAGUCGUCGCACGCCAAGCCUCGCGCCUCCCUUCUUCUUUUCCUUCUUUUACCCCUUGUUCUUCCUUUUUUCUUCUUUUUUUUUCUUCUUUGUUGUGUCUUUUUCUUCUGUGCGGUGGUUCUUUCUUUCAUCCCGAUCAAUUACUGGUCCUUUCUCAUCAAGUCGCGUCGAUUCUUCUUCCAUUAAUGCACAAAUCUCCCUUUUUUACUGCACACCAUGCCCUCUUUUCUCUCUUCCGGUUGCCCUCUCCUCUCCCCUAGCUGUGAUGACCCACUCGUUCUCUCUCUCUCUCUCUCUUUCCCUUUGCACCUCUAUCUCUUCCCUCUCUCCCCUGAUCGACUCCCCCCUUCCUCAGGAAACCCUAAUCGGGUUUUCACUUAUAUCUUAUUCCUUGGUAGUCCAAUCUCCUUCAAUCUCACUCGUUCAUUUUCAGAUCUCGCCAUGUGUAUGCACACAUGACAGAGCGGCCUGGCCCACCUUGCCAUUUCAUUUGCUAAGGUGUCUAACACUUCUCAAAUUUACAUUUUAGCUUUAUUUUUUGUAUUUAUUGUCAUUUAGGUUUUUUUAUUCACAAAAUGUCACUAAAAUUUAAUUUUUUCUUCACUUAAGCCCCCAAAAUCUUAAUUUUUAUAAUUUUAGGUUUAAUUUAAGGAAUUCAUAAAGUCGCGGGUGUUACAUAAAUAAUUUAUAUAAAUUAAAAAAAUUAGUGGGACAAUAUUGGAACACCCACCGAAACCUUUUUUUUUCAUUUUUUAUUAAUAAAUAUAAUUAUUUAUUUAUUUAUUUAUUUAUUUUAUUAUAUUUUAUUUUAAUUUAAUGAAAAAAGGGGUAAAAUUUAUUAAGGAUUAAAUUGAAGAUAAUUUUUUUAAAAAAGGUGAAAAAUUGGGUUCAGGAGGUAUUUUUGAAAGAAAAAUUGAAAACCGAGAGUCAAAACGCAAUUUAAAAAAAUUUUACCACGUUAGACGCCCGAUCAGUACCCCGACCAAUCAGGAUGCACCAAGUGGUAGAGGCGCUUAUGUGGGAGGCCACGCGGAGGAGAGCCACGCGGGCAAUCCGCGUGCGCGUGAUCGAAUUGCCGAGGUCCAUUCCCACGCGCACGGACGACCCAGAGUGAAUCGCGUACGGACAGACCAGAUUGGAUCGCGAAGAAUGGCCCAAAUUCACUCCCUAUUUAAUCGUGAUCAGACGGUCUAGAUUAAACGCGAUGGACGGUCCAGAUCAAAAGCGGAUAUGUAUAAAUAACCCCAUUUGCACCCAAACCCUAACCCUAGCCGCCAGAACCCCUCGCCGGAGAAGACAAACCAGUUGCCGGAAAGCUGACCGCCGCCAUCCACCGCUACACCGGAACCUUUUCCGACCGCCAAAAACGGUAAAAAAAUUUCUUUUUACACGAAAUUCAAUUUUAAACCCACCAUGGCCAAAUGGAAGUGAAAGAACUGACCAAUUGGUCAGAAAACACAAACAAAGCCCGUGGGCUUUGCCUCGGAGAAUUUCACAAACUGCCUGCGAUGAAGCCUUUUUCGAUUCCUGUUUCACGUAAUUUUUCUACCGUUGUGAUCACCAUUUUCUUCUCUACAGGUUGACCGAAACAAAAUACUCAAUCGCAACAUGAACCGAAGGAGCCACCGCACCGGAGAGCCCUGCCGCUAGUGAGUUUCAAUUUUUCGUAUUUUUUCGGUCCACCGAGGCCCUUCAGCGUGUGUGCUUGCUGGAAUCGAUGCAAAAUCGGCCAAAUUCGGCCAAAAAUGGCCGACCCGAGAUAGACCGUUGUCGCCGUGCCGGAUUUUUAAAAUUAGUCUAGCGAGCCCUGGGACUGAUUUUUGGUUUAUUUGAAACAAUUGUAGGUACUAUAAACGCAUUUCAGUUCCUGAGAAAAAAUUCAGGGAACCCAGGGACCUCCCGUAUGCACAGUAAACCUUUUAGCUUUUCGGCGUCAAAUCGAGUAAGGACCACUUAUCCUAUUCCCUAUCAUAAAAUUGAAGUUUAAAUAAAUAAUAAUACAGUAUUUUAUAGAAAUUAAAUAGAUGUGAAUGACUAAUUACGGAUUACUAAUAGAGCCCGAACUGGACAUUGUUCCCCGUUGAUUUAUUUUAUAGUCUAAAAAUAUGAUAGUAUCUGAUUUAUCUAUUUUAUGGUUUAAAUACAUGUAUUACUGCCUUACCUGACCAUUGUUUGAUUUGAGAUUUGAGAUAUGAUUGCAUUAUCGGAUGCAUGUUUAUUUGUUUAUGUGAUUAUGUUUGAUUUGGUAAUGGAGACUAAAGGAAAACAGGAAAGGGGUGUCAUCAAAUAAACAGAUGGAAUGACAGUCUUACUAGAUAUCCUAGAAGAUGGUGAACGGACCCAGUACAUGGGGAACCCUACCGUGAACGUUGUCUCAUAUCGGACGAGGUACGGAGACUUGGGCAUUUGGCGCUCAUACCGGACGGGAUAUGGGACGGCCCGCUUUACCCUCAUAGCGGAUAGGGUAUUGAGGUUUAAUGUCUUGGCACUCAUACCAGACGGGGUAUGGGGACGGUCCUGUAAUUGAGAUUGUUAAAGGGAAGGGUUCACGUGUAGCGGGGACAUUUUUAUGAACCCCCACGGAUACUAGUAGGCUGGUAAAAUGAGAAACACUAUGAUUUGAUUUAUUGUUAAUGGAUGAAUCUAUGAUAUGUUCUAUGUUGAUGAUUGUUCAUAAAGUUAUGAUUUGUAUGGU
rnacentral:lncRNA from 1 species